rnacentral:rRNA from 1 species
GCAAGUCGAGCGAGAAAGGCCUUCGGGCUGAGUACAGCGGCGGACGGGUGAGUAACGCGUAGGAAUCUACCUGGUAGUGGGGGACAACAUGGGGAAACUCAUGCUAAUACCGCAUACGCCCUAUGGGGGAAAGCGGGGGACCUUCGGGCCUCGCACUAUUGGAUGAGCCUAUGUCAGAUUAGUUUGUUGGUGAGGUAAAGGCUCACCAAGGCGACGAUCCGUAGCUGGUCUGAGAGGAUGAUC